rnacentral:rRNA from 1 species
CCCGCUGAACUUAAGCAUAUCAUUUAGCGGAGGACAAGAAAACAACUGUGAUUCCCUGAGUAACGGCGAGUGAACAGGGAACAGCCUAUGCUUGAAUCCUCGGUACGAAGGAAUCGGAGUCCGAGGAAUUGUAGUGCAAGGACCAGUGCGACGCUCAACAGUCAGACGAAGUCUCAGGAAAGUGACACCAUCGAGGGCGAACGUCCCGUUACGUCUGUACGCGUUGAGUGUCAACGUGCUGGUACGACGAGUCGCGCAGUUUGAUAGUGCUGUGCAAACCGGAGGUGUACUUCUCCGAAGGCUAAAUAUUGCACCAAGACCGAUAGCGAACAAGUAGUGUGAACGAAAGAUGAAAAGCACUUUGGAAAGAGAGUGAAAAAGUCCUUGAAGUCGUUGAGUGCCAAGGGUAUGAGACCCAUUAUACAACUACGUUAGCGUAGUUUGUCAGUGCAUGUUGAUUCCUUCUCGAGCAAGAAAUGAACCAUUCCACUUCGGUGGAGUGGAAUUUCAAGUCUUAGAAGCGAGGGAUCGACAUGGAAGUGGGAGUUCUUACAGUAUUGACUGGAAUCCUGUGUUCGUAAUGUGCAUUCCUUCUUCGGAGGGGGUCAUGGUGCAGACACAGGCUUUUAGUACGUGCUGGAUGUUCUCUCGAGCUGGCUCCGGAUUGCCGGAGGAUGGUCUUCUACCACCCGUCUUGAAACACGG